AACGAACGUUAGCGGCGCGCCUAACACAUGCAAGUCGUGCGAGAAAGGGCUUCGGCCCCGGUAAAGCGGCGCACGGGUGAGUAACACGUAGGUAAUCUCCCUCUGAGUGGUGGAUAACCCUCCGAAAGGAGGACUAACACAGCAUAAGACCACGAGCUCGUUGAGCUUGCGGCCAAAACAGGCCACUGUACACAUGCUUGUGCUCGGAGAUGAGCCUGCGGCCCAUCAGCUAGUUGGCAGGGUAACGGCCUACCAAGGCAGAGACGGGUAGCUGGUCUGAGAGGAUGAACAGCCACACUGGAACUGAAACACGGUCCAGACUCCUACGGGUGGCUG
rnacentral:rRNA from 1 species